GCCAUUUUGUGGCGGGCGGGGCGGCUGGUGGCGCGGGGUUGUCUGUGCGCGCUCGCAGCCGUGGCCUGGCCGGCAGCGGGAUGUCUUGCGCGGCACAUGCCGCCCCUCCCUGUGUGUUUCAGAGAGAAGCAGAAAGGUUUUCUGUCCCACUGGAUAGACCCACCCAGAGCGCAGCCAUGGAAUUACCCCCUUGUAAGGAGUGAUCUUAGUUCCCAAGCCAGAAAAGUUUGCCAUGUUAUCUGCUGUAACUCCUCUCUCAAGUACUGGCAAGUUUCCAUGUGUGACUUGGAAAUAUUCUGUGCAAGAUGUUCUAAAAGAAAGAGCAGAAAGCGACACGCGUUAGAAAUGCAAAGCUAUACCUUCAGACACGAGAAAAGCUCGUAUAUUUCAGUUGCAACAGGGGGAGGGAGAAGGUGAGCUGAGAGAGAAAACUGCUUUGGUUUGAGUUUCCUUGGAACCAGCCCCGGGAAGCGCAGCCAUUUAACGCCCGGCCGGAGGACGCGGCCGCGCCCGCAGCCGCCGGCAGAGGGCGCCGCUGACCCAGAGUUGAGCACCGGCGGAAAGCGGCGCCGAGGGGACACGGACACGGCUGGGGCACGGCGGGCGCGGAGCGACCCCAGGGACUACAGCCGCAGGAAACUGGGGGAAGAAGCGGCGUGACCGACCCCUCGAGCGAGGGCACACAGCUGUCUGUGGACAAGGCCGUGCUGAACGCAGGACACAUCAGGGACGGGACAGAACGGCACUGCCAGGCCGGCAGAGCUGCCAGUGCCAACGCUUUCCAAUAGGGAAAUACAGUUACCGCCUGUCUAGAGUUCUCUCAGGCAGGACCUUCUGGUUCCAUGAAGCUGCCUGGGAGGGAAAAGUGUCUUUUUUUUUUUUUUUUUUUUCUACUCUCAUAAAAUUUAAAAAAUAUCAGGAAAAUGCAUCUAUUAGAGAAUCCAGAUGAUUAAGGUAACACACUAAAAAAUCCCUAACACUAGGGGUUGUUUUCCUUCAGCUUUAGAUGAGUCACCUAGUUUACGGCACAUGAUUUAAAAUUUCCAUACAAUAUUUUAAUUCCAAAUAAAAUUUUCUGCUGCUAUACUUGAUUAAAAGAUGCAUAAGGCAGAUUUACAUUUAUUAAUAAAACUUGGUUCCAUAAAUGUUUAGGAACACUUUCAAAAGCCUGAAUAGUACUUAGAUACCCAAGUUCCACUUUUAUUUAACUUCCUCUUUCCAUACCCUGACCCUUCAGGUGGGCAUGUUCUCCUAUUUUAGCAUCGAGACAAGUAGAGGCCUGGGAACUUGUCUCACACAAUUCUGCCUUGUUUGGCCACUGAAAAUGAAGGCUCAAACCGAAGAGGAAUGAUGGUCACUACAACAUGGAGGUAUCCUGAGGGACUGCAGUACUGGGUCUUCAGUGAAACUGGCUUUGUUUGGUAAUUAUCAAACCCAACUCUUCACAAACUGUACUGCUGGACCAAUGUCUGUCAGUAGUUUGCUUAAGAUAUUGCCUGAAAAAUCUUUAACAUACAGAUGAAGUAAAAGCAGAUUUUAUGUGCUACCUGGGCAAUCAGUAAGGUAGAACACAACAUAAUUUAUACUUUGUCACUGUAGUUUUGAUGUAUUUCAGAGCAAUUUUAUUUUUUUUAACAAGUGUGUAGUUAAAACACUCGUUCCCGGUAGCAGCAGCUGACAGCAUGAUCCCUGUGCCCUUACAGGAUGCAGGAGGUGAAAUAUUCCCAUGUUAUUCACAAACCUCUGCCUCACUUUGGGACUGUAUUUCAGCACACACCUAAAUAUUUUCAUUGAACAGCCACACCUUUCUAAAUUGAAACCUUCGUCUGGCAGACAAACAUUCUUCAAACAUUGUUCAGUAAUGUUAAUGCUGGGCACCCAAAUCGUGCUGUGCAGGGUUUAAAUGAAGCACUAUGUAAAUAAAGGUAAGCAACAGGACAAACUUCUUUAAGCCACUGUUCCAAACUCAACAGUGGGCCUACAAAGGAAAAAUCCUCUAUUUUUUUUUCCUGUGGGUUUAAUGUAGAUCUUUUUAAUACCUUCCAUGAGAAAAUUAGCAGUCAUUUCACUGAGACAAAGCUGGUAGUGCUGCCUUUGUCCUGACAUUUUCUUCUCCUUUUUACCUAUCUGAAAUUAUUUGAACUGAUGCCAGACACAGUAUUUUGGCUGUCAGGACAAAUUACAUUGUAGAGAGCAGCAUUCUGCAACAUAAGGACAUUUAAAAGCAAGCUUCUUGUGACUUCCUCUCUGCAAAACUUCUCAAAAGAAAAUAAACUACACAAAAUUUUAAUGUGGAAUAUCUGAUUUUUUGAACUAUUUUUAGGUAUUCAUAAUAAAAUAAUUAGAAAAAAUGUUGCUUCAGCCAGUUUUAAGAAUCAAUUUUAAAUGCCUGGCUGCUUACAUAAGUAAUGGAAUCAUGAAACCAGUUCUUUGAUGUCCUGUUCCACUUUGUUAUAACCAGUUCACACAGCACAGUAACUCCAGUCUCAGCUGUUGACAAGCCAUACUUGUGGAAUUCAGCCUUAGUGUAAUCAUUAAGAGAAAAGUUUAAAGUAAAUUGUGGUAAUUAAUGUUAUAAGGCUCUUAGAGAAAUUUUAAUGUGGAAUAUAACAAAACUUGUUAUAUUCAAAAAUGUCCUUCAGUAUCUGGGGCUAGAUCCUCUUCAGUAAGUGACAAGAACUGCCCUGAGCCCAGUUCUCCGGUACAGAGCAGAAGAAAAUCAGCCUCAUCACUUUUUGUUAGGAGUAACAGUAUUGAGGUAAUGAAAAAGGAGAUAAAUUGUUAAAAAACAAUCUGCAAAUAAAGAAAUGCCCUGUUUUCUCAACACUAAAAAUUAGCUUCCUCAUCAGUAUUCCCAGGGUUCUAUCGCAAGGACUGAAAGCAAAAGCAACACUGAUUAACCCCAGUCCCCUGGGAGCUUUAGUCCAGAGCAGUAAGGAGUUCCCCAUGUGCCCUGAGAUCAGGGUAUUACUAUGCACUUCACAGAAGAAUGCCCAGCCAUGCCCACAGCUCUACUGAAGCAGCAUUCUCACUAUCACCUGGCUACAUGUGGCACUUUAAUCCAAAGGGUACUGUUAAAACAAUUACAAUGGAAGCU